rnacentral:rRNA from 1 species
GACGAACCGUGCGAACGUUAUUCGGAAUCAUUGGGCUUAAAGGGCGCGUAGGCGGCGGCGUAAGUUGGAAGUGAAAUCCCAUCGGCUCAACCGUGGAAUUGCUCCCAGUACUGCGUCGCUCGAGGGAGGUAGGGGUCUGUGGAACUUCUGGUGGAGCGGUGAAAUGCGUUGAUAUCAGAAGGAACGCCGGUGGCGAAAGCGACGGACUGGACCUCUUCUGACGCUGAGGCGCGAAAGCUAGGGGAGCAAACGGG